rnacentral:rRNA from 1 species
GGAUUAGAUACCCUGGUAGUCCACGCCGUAAACGAUGAGAACUAGACGUUGGGCCGCAUGACGGUUUAGUGUCGAAGCUAACGCGAUAAGUUCUCCGCCUGGGGAGUACGGCCGCAAGGUUAAAACUCAAAGAAAUUGACGGGGACCCGCACAAGCGGUGGAGCAUGUGGUUUAAUUCGAUGCAACGCGAAGAACCUUACCUACCCUUGACAUCCUGGAAAGCUCACGUAAUGAUGAGUGUGCCUUCGGGAAUCCAGUGACAGGUGCUGCAUGGCUGUCGUCAGCUCGUGCCG